GGAUUUAUUGAAUGUCCAACCUGGCAUUUGCAAAUAUAUUGGAGGGACACCAUGGACAUGUGGCAUAUGAUGGACAUAUCUCCGAAAGACAAAGUAUUACCAAAAGGUUACAUGAAGCAUGCAUUUCUCUGCACUCCUCCCACAGUCGAGACUUAGCCUGGGACAGGCUCACAACAGCCAGAAUGGAACAUGCAGCACAAGGUUAAACGCAACCCUAAAUUAAUGAAUCUCGUUAAUGCUUUAAAUACCCAUCCAAUAACAUGGACUGCUGUGCUGUUUUAUCUUGCUCUGCACAUGGGCGGGAGCCAGCCAGGGCAACACAGUG